rnacentral:lncRNA from 1 species
UACAUGUGAACUACACCUUGAGGUUCUAUUUUGAUUUUAUUGGAGUACUACUGCAUACUGUUAUGUGUCACUGGUGAAUUGUGAGAGCACACUAGGGUUUCUCAGGAUCGACAAUCUUUGAUAAGUUGGAGUGGAAUCGUUCCGAUCCAUUGAAAAGAGUUUCAAUGAUACUAUGAUAAAAAUCAUUGUAUAUCUCACUAU